rnacentral:rRNA from 1 species
AUUGAACGCUGGCGGCAGGCCUAACACAUGCAAGUCGAGCGAGCGGCGGACGGGUGAGUAAUGUCUGGGAAACUGCCUGAUGGAGGGGGAUAACAACUGGAAACGGUAGCUAAUACCGCAUACCAUCGGAUGUGCCCAGAUGGGAUUAGCUCGUAGGUGGGUGAACGGCUCACCUAGGCGACGAUCCCUAGCUGGUCUGAGAGGAUGCCCAGCAACACUGGAACUGAGACACGGUCCAGACGCCUACGGGAGGCAGCAGUGGGGAAUAUUGCACAAUGGGCGCAAGCCUGAUGCAGCCAUGCCGCGUGUAUGAAGAAGGCCUGCGGGUUGUAAAGUACUUUCAGCGGGGAGGCGUUACCCGCAGAAGAAGCACCGGCUAACUCCGUGCCAGCCGCCGCGGUAAUUC